GUUGAGUUAGUCAAGUGGUGUUGGCUUGAGACCUUAAAGUGUGCUCCUCUCAAGGUCUCAGGUUCAAUUCUACUCAAUG
rnacentral:tRNA from 1 species